rnacentral:misc_RNA from 1 species
CUUGCAGGACCUGGCCCGACAGAGACUGGCAUUGGCCAUAGGCGUGUAAAUGGGUCGAGAUGUGGUGGUUUUUUUUCCCCUACACCACACGAUACGUUCGAGUCUUGACCUGAAGCGGGCUGGCGGCAGGGUAUGAGGCGGUAUGCGUUCGAUAGACCGAAAAUGACCGAUGUUGUCCAAAGAAAGCUUUAGAUGCAUACAUGAUAGCCGAUUCCCACACCGCUUGCCUGUUUUGUUGUGGAUCAUGUGAAAAGCCGACCGAUGAUGUGCUGUGUUGGUUAUUAACCGAUGAGCUGGUCGGAUGUGUUGCUCGAAAUAGGAAUGGUCCUUGAAAAGCUGGGUUGGCUGUGAUGUUCUCUUUAUUCUUUGAUGAUGGUCUGGGAGUCGUGGCUGGUGGUGAUGGCCCUUCUCGGCCAUUGAUCUUGAGGGCAUUGGGUCCUUGGCCGUAACGAUGACCAGAAUGAGGUGUUGGCUGAAAAGAAACAGUCCCUCUCGAGAAGCCUUCGGUUUAGUCGUCUCUUUCGCAUCGUGUGGUGCUAUCCAUCGAAUAUUCUUGAAAAUGGUUGUGUUCUUGGCGUUUGUGCUAGGGAUGUGGCUAUGAGUAAGGAUGACUUCACAGGAUUGUCAGCCAUAAAGGUGCAUGAGUUGUGAUUGGUUUGUUUCUGGUGGUUGGACGUCUUGUUUGCGCAGCAACGGCCCCUGGUGCAACCUUCUUCAGUUAUUGUGAGGGCACUAGAUGCCUUUUCGAACGGUGGGUUUCGUGCAGUGUGUUCCUGAAUCGUGGCAUUCAAAUGGGCGUAAUCGGCCUAGUUUAUCAUGUGUUGCGUUGUGCGGCACGUGGGAAACAAGAUGCUAUCUCCUUGGUCCCCAUCGUCUUUGUGUAUAUACACUGAUGUUGUGGCUCAUUGAGUGUUGCCUGGUCUCACGAGUGCGGAACCUAACAUGGUCUUAGGUUGUCGCUCGACCCUUUGUUACCAUCAUUUGGUUUCCUGGCCCAUCCUUGAUACGACGGCCUAUCGUG